rnacentral:sRNA from 1 species
GGUUCUGCGCGUGCGCGGACGGCUGUCUGUUAACUCCGCGGUCAGUUCCCGGACUGGCGGCUGGUCUGUAGGGUUGACCUACGCAAUGCAGAGGCUGCAGGUAGUGCUGGGCCACCUGAGGGGUCCGGCCGAUUCCGGCUGGAUGCCGCAGGCCGCGCCUUGCCUGAGCGGUGCCCCGCAGGCCUCGGCCGCGGACGUGGUGGUGGUGCACGGGCGGCGCACGGCCAUCUGCCGGGCGGGCCGCGGCGGCUUCAAGGACACCACCCCCGACGAGCUUCUCUCGGCAGUCAUGACCGCGGUUCUCAAGGACGUGAAUCUGAGGCCGGAACAGCUGGGGGACAUCUGUGUCGGAAAUGUGCUGCAGCCUGGGGCCGGGGCAAUCAUGGCCCGAAUCGCCCAGUUUCUGAGGUAAACUUUUCUAGUUCUAGCCAUGGGUUGGCCAUUUUGAAGCUUUACUGGGCCCAGGCCCCAGGAAACUCAGUGUGCAGGUUGGGGAGGAUAAGGUUGGACACCAGAAUGAGGCAACCAGAGUCCUUGGCUCCCUGCUCUUGUGGACUCAACCUCUCCCCUACUUUGAAGU